rnacentral:rRNA from 1 species
GACAGAGGGGGCAAGCGUUGCUCGGAAUUACUGGGCGUAAAGCGCGCGCAGGCGGCUUUUUAAGUCCGACGGUGAAAUGCCGGGGCUCAACCCCGUGCCCGCCGCGGAUACUGGGAAGCUGGAGACGAGUAGAGGCAAGCGGAAUUCCGGGUGUAGCGGUGGAAUGCGUAGAGAUCCGGAAGAACACCGGAGGCGAAGGCGGCUUGCUGGGCUCGGUCUGACGCUGAGGCGCGAAAGCGUGGGGAGCGAACAGG